rnacentral:tRNA from 1 species
UAAGAAUGAAGCAAUUCUGCAACCAAUUUCGACCUGGCGCCUGGGACUCCCCAUUCUUAU